GUCGUAGGAGGUUAUACAGGCAAAUCCGUAUAACAAUACUCCGAGAACUGAAAGGCUUUUUGAAGUCUUCGGAUGGAUAGAAGAACCCCUGAUGCCGUCGAGCCAAGAAAAGUUUCUAAGUUUAGCUAAUGUUGCCCGUACCGUAAACCGACACAGGUGGGUGGGAUGAGUAUUCUAAGGCGCGUGGAAGAACUCUCUUUAAGGAACUCUGCAAAAUAGCACCGUAUCUUCGGUAUAAGGUGUGGUUCGCUUCGUAUUAGGAUUUACUCCGAAAGCGAAGAAACUUACAACAAAGAGUCCCUCCCGACUGUUUACCAAAAACACAGCACUCUGCUAACUCGUAAGAGGAUGUAUAGGGUGUGACGCCUGCCCGGUGCUCGAAGGUUAAUUGAUGGGGUUAGCAUUAGCGAAGCUCUUGAUCGAAGCCCGAGUAAACGGCGGCCGUAACUAUAACGGUCCUAAGGUAGCGAAAUUCCUUGUCGGUUAAAUACCGACCUGCAUGAAUGGCGUAACGAGAUGGGAGCUGUCUCAAAGAGGGAUCCAGUGAAAUUGUAGUGGAGGUGAAAAUUCCUCCUACCCGCGGCAAGACGGAAAGACCCCGUGGACCUUUACUACAGCUUGACACUGCUAUUUGGAUAAGAAUGUGCAGGAUAGGUGGGAGGCUUUGAGUAUAUGACGCCAGUUGUAUAUGAGCCAUUGUUGAGAUACCACUCUUUCUUAUUUGGGUAGCUAACCAGCUUGAGUUAUCCUCAAGUGGGACAAUGUCUGGUGGGUAGUUUGACUGGGGCGGUCGCCUCCCAAAUAAUAACGGAGGCUUACAAAGGUUGGCUCAGAACGGUUGGAAAUCGUUCGUAGAGUAUAAAGGUAUAAGCCAGCUUAACUGCAAGACAUACAAGUCAAGCAGAGACGAAAGUCGGUCUUAGUGAUCCGGUGGUUCUGUGUGGAAGGGCCAUCGCUCAAAGGAUAAAAGGUACCCCGGGGAUAACAGGCUGAUCUCCCCCAAGAGCUCACAUCGACGGGGAGGUUUGGCACCUCGAUGUCGGCUCAUCGCAUCCUGGGGCUGGAGCAGGUCCCAAGGGUAUGGCUGUUCGCCAUUUAAAGCGGUACGCGAGCUGGGUUCAGAACGUCGUGAGACAGUUCGGUCCCUAUCUGCCGUGGGCGUAAGAAGAUUGAAGAGAUUUGACCCUAGUACGAGAGGACCGGGUUGAACAAACCACUGGUGUAGCUGUUGUUCUGCCAAGAGCAUCGCAGCGUAGCUAAGUUUGGAAAGGAUAAACGCUGAAAGCAUCUAAGCGUGAAGCCAACUCUAAGAUGAAUCUUCUCUAAGCUCUCUAGAAGACUACUAGUUUGAUAGGCUGGGUGUGUAAUGGAUGAAAGUCCUUUAGCUGACCAGUACUAAUAGAGCGUUUGGCUUAUCUUUAAUAAAGCAU
rnacentral:rRNA from 1 species